rnacentral:rRNA from 1 species
AUUGAACGCUGGCGGCAUGCCUUACACAUGCAAGUCGAACGGCAGCGGGGGAGAAGCUUGCUCUUCCUGCCGGCGAGUGGCGAACGGGUGAGUAAUACAUCGGAACGUGCCCUGUAGUGGGGGACAACUAGUCGAAAGAUUAGCUAAUACCGCAUACGACCUGAGGGUGAAAGUGGGGGACCGCAAGGCCUCAUGCUAUAGGAGCGGCCGAUGUCUGAUUAGCUAGUUGGUGGGGUAAAGGCCUACCAAGGCGACGAUCAGUAGCUGGUCGGAGAGGACGAUCAGCCACACUUGGACCGAGAAACGGCCCAGACUCCUAUGGGAGGCAGCAGUGGGGAAUUUUGGACAAUGGGCGAAAGCCUGAUCCAGCAAUGCCGCGUGCGUGAAGAAGGCCUUCGGGUUGUAAAGCACUUUUGUCCGGAAAGAAAUGGCUCUGGUUAAUACCUGGGGUCGAUGACGGUACCGGAAGAAUAAGGACCGGCUAACUACGUGCCAGCAGCCGCGGUAA